UGGGGAAUAUUGGACAAUGGGGGGAACCCUGAUCCAGCCAUGCCGCGUGUGUGAAGAAGGCCUUAUGGUUGUAAAGCACUUUAAGCGAGGAGGAGGGUACUGGUAUUAAUACUACCAGGUACUGGACGUUACUCGCAGAAUAAGCACCGGCUAACUCUGUGCCAGCAGCCGCGGUAAUACAGAGGGUGCGAGCGUUAAUCGGAUUUACUGGGCAUAAAGCGCGCGUAGGUGGUUCGUUAAGUUGAAUGUGAAAGCCCCGGGCUCAACCUGGGAACUGCAUCCAAAACUGGCGAGCUAGAGUAGGGCAGAGGGUGGUGGAAUUUCCUGUGUAGCGGUGAAAUGCGUAGAUAUAGGAAGGAACACCAGUGGCGAAGGCGACCACCUGGGCUCAUACUGACACUGAGGUGCGAAAGCGUGGGGAGCAAACAGG
rnacentral:rRNA from 1 species